rnacentral:lncRNA from 1 species
CUUUAUGAGCACCACCUUCAUUCCGGGGCCUCUCUUGAUCCUACAGGGACCCAGUCCUGUGUGACAAUGACCAACAGGACAGGCUUCUUAUGCCAUGACCGAAGGCACUGCAUCCCAGCCCAUGGGGUGUGUGAUGGCAUUCUCACCUGUCCCUAUGGUGAGGAUGAGGAUGAACGCUUGUGCCGAGAUGUGCCCCGGAGCCUUCCCAGCUUCCUCCUGGCCUACUGUGGAGACCCAGCCUCUUGGAUCUACUCCGACCAGAAAUGUGAUGGCACCAACAACUGUGGGGACUGCUCAGAUGAAUUGAGCCCAGUGACUGCAUGCCCACCUUGUGGCCCUGGAUGGUGGAGAUGCACUCCAACUGUCUUCAAGUACUGCAGCUGUAUCCCGAGGGUGCUGUGCCAGGACCAUGUGCAGCACUGCUCUGACUGGUCAGACGAGUACGUCUGUCCUGGACCCUGAGUGAGUCUCCCUCUGCAGCCUGGGAGCUGGCGCCAGGACCUUUCAUCUGAGCAUCAAACCCUAGACCACAAGGGCAGGAAGGAACCUUUGACAUCAUCCAGCGGCUUCUCCCCAUUGCCUCUAAAUAGGAAUUACCUUUCCUCUUUUCAAGUGUCUCAGCCUCUACUUAAGCAGCUCCAAUGCCAAGGAGCACACUAUCAUGUUAGACAGCCUCUAGCAGAGAUGAGGUGAGUCUGCCUCCAUCAUUUUAGGCCCAUCAAUGGGAGCACACAGAGGAAAUAUGCUCCUUGGCUCCAGGGCAGGCCUGAAGGUUCCAAUCUUGUCACCAUUUGGAGAGACAGAUAAAUGUGGAGCUUAAAUGCCAAGCAGAGGAGUUUAGCUCCCAUGGACAGAAGACAAAGUAUGCACAUUUACCAUCCAUUUGGUGCCUAAGGCAGAACUGCUGACUUCAAAGGCUGCUGUAGUGUGUCGCUCAGCUCACCAGCAGUCCCCAACUGAUCGCAUGGACCACACAUGGUGUCCUUCUAGCUCCCCAAUCUCCUGAAGGCUUGUGGCUGUAGAAUGGGGGGCCUUCAGCCUUGGUCCUGCUUUACCUCACACUCACCUGCGGGUUUAUAUUUUGAUCCUGAAGCCAGAGUGAACCAUUUUCCUGCAAAUGGUUCUUUGCAUCACUGCACCUAGGUGGGCAGGGUUGGGUGUACUCAUUAGACAGAUGAGGAAACUGAG